rnacentral:rRNA from 1 species
GACGAACGCUGGUGGCGUGCUUAACACAUGCAAGUCGAACGGGAUUUAGUAAACAGAAGCCUCGGUGGAAGAUUACUAAUGAGAGUGGCGAACGGGUGAGUAACGCGUGAGCAACCUGCCUAUGACAGUGGGAUAGCCUCGGGAAACCGGGAUUAAUACCGCAUAAAAUCGUAGAAACACAUGUUUUAACGGUCAAAGAUUUAUCGGUCAUAGAUGGGCUCGCGUCUGAUUAGCUAGUUGGUGAGAUAACAGCCCACCAAGGCGACGAUCAGUAGCCGGUCUGAGAGGAUGAACGGCCACAUUGGAACUGAGACACGGUCCAAACUCCUACGGGAGGCAGCAGUGGGGAAUAUUGCACAAUGGGGAAACCCUGAUGCAGCGACGCCGCGUGAACGAAGAAGGUAUUCGUAUCGUAAAGUUCUGUCCUAUGGGAAGAUAAUGACAGUACCAUAGAAGAAAGCUCCGGCUAAAUACGUG